CCUACGAGAGGCAGCAGUGAGGAAUAUUGGUCAAUGGCCGUAAGGCUGAACCAGCCAAGUCGCGUGAAGGAAGAAGGAUCUAUGAUUUGUAAACUUCUUUUAUAGGGGAAUAAAGGUAUCCACGUGUGGAUAUUUGCAUGUACCCUAUGAAUACGCAUCGGCUAACUCCGUGAAAGCAGCCGCGGUAAUACGGAGGUUGCGAGCGUUAUCCGUAUUUAGUGGGUUUAGAGGGUGCGUCGGUUGUUUUUUAAGUCAGCGGUGAAAGUUUGUGGCUAAACCAUAAAAUUGCCGUUGAAACUGGAAGACUGGAGUGUGUUUGAGGUAGGCGGAAUGCGUGGGGGAGCGGUGAAAUGCAGAGAUAUCAAGCAGAACGCAGAUUGCGAAGGCAGCUUACUAAGCCAUAACUGACACUGAAGCACGAAAGCGUGGGGAUCAAACAGGAUUAGAUACCCCUGUAGUC
rnacentral:rRNA from 1 species